GCGGCCUGCGGUGGAGCCCGUACGUCGGUUUCGGCCGUGCGUGCGGACCCGCGGUGUCCUGGCCGACUGCUCGACGGUAGAACUAAGGCGCAGAGCCGCGACUAGCUCGCGUUCGGCCCAGCGCAAGCGCAAUCGGUUAUUCGUUUGUCGGACUUGUGCCGAUUUCGGAGCCGGCUGGCUGUUGGCGUUGGUGUUCCCGAACAGACUCUGUUCACGCCUGUUAGCGGCGCUAUAGCUUUGGGUACUUUCAGGACCCGUCUUGAAACACGGACCAAGGAGUCUAGCAUGUGCGCAAGUCAUUGGGACUAUCGAAUCCUAAAGGCGUAAUGAAAGUGAAUACAAAGCCUAGCUUUGCAAAGGGAAGAUGGGCAGCAUUUGAUGCCUCGCACUCCCGGGGCGUCUCGUUCUCAUUGCGAGAAGAGGCGCACCUAGAGCGUACACGCUGGGA
rnacentral:rRNA from 1 species